rnacentral:rRNA from 1 species
AUUGAACGNCUGGCGGCACCGUCUUUACACAUGCAAGUCGAACGGUAACGCGGGGAGAAGCUUGCUUCUCUCCGGCGACGAGUGGCGAACGGGUGAGUAAUACAUCGGAACGUGUCCGCUCGUGGGGGACAACCAGCCGAAAGGUUGGCUAAUACCGCAUGAGUUCUACGGAAGAAAGAGGGGGACCCGCAAGGGCCUCUCGCGAGCGGAGCGGCCGAUGACUGAUUAGCCGGUUGGUGAGGUAACGGCUCACCAAAGCAACGAUCAGUAGCUGGUCUGAGAGGACGACCAGCCACACUGGGACUGAGACACGGCCCAGACUCCUACGGGAGGCAGCAGUGGGGAAUUUUGGACAAUGGGCGCAAGCCUGAUCCAGCUAUUCCGCGUGUGGGAUGAAGGCCCUCGGGUUGUAAACCACUUUUGUAGAGAACGAAAAGACACCUUUUAAAAAAGGGUGUUGCUGACGGUACUCUAAGAAUAAGCACCGGCUAACUACGUGCCAGCAGCCGCGGUAAUACGUAGGGUGCGAGCGUUAAUCGGAAUUACUGGGCGUAAAGGGUGCGCAGGCGGUUGAGUAAGACAGAUGUGAAAUCCCCGAGCUUAACUCGGGAAUGGCAUAUGUGACUGCUCGACUAGAGUGUGUCAGAGGGAGGUGGAAUUCCACGUGUAGCAGUGAAAUGCGUAGAUAUGUGGAAGAACACCGAUGGCGAAGGCAGCCUCCUGGGACAUAACUGACGCUCAGGCACGAAAGCGUGGGGAGCANACAGG